CAUUUUAUAUCUGACGGCUUUAUUUAGGCUUCAAAAUGUAUACAUUUUCGUUUAACUUAUAAAGAUUAUCUUGAUAGACAAAACGUGUAAGGUUCAUAACUCUUUGUUGAACACAGAUCUUAUUUUUUGCGAUUUUCCAAAAGUCUAUGGGAAAAAUGAAUGGCUUUUCGAUCGAGGGAACCCAUGCGCCGCUAACUUCCGGGUUGGCCUACAAAGUGACGUCAUGACUUCGGCACUCUAUAAUGACAAAGAGAGCGUAAAAGAGGAAUUUUACAGACAUAGAAAUUGAGUUACUGGUGGAUGAGGUUAAAUCCUAAUAACACAUCCUGUUUGGUAGUUAGUGCGGGAGGAAUGACUAACAAAAGAAAACAAAUCUACAUGUGAACAUGUUACCAGUGAGUUUAAUUCCGUAGAAUAUGAGGAGAGAACACUCCAAAUUAACAGCAAAAAAAAAAAAAAAAAAGCGUUUCCAGCACAAAUACUCUGAACGAGAGACUUGGGUAAAAAAAGGCAGAGUACCAGUCAGUGGUUAAAGACACACAAAAUGUGGACAUCAAAACAAAUGGCUACAUUUGCUCGUGAGGAAGAUGAUAACGAAGAGGAUGAGACUCCUUCAAACCAUAAGAUAGUGGAUGAUUCACACUCAACUGCAAAGCAAUGAAAGAACACAUCUGUCACUAAAUUGAACCCAGUCACCUUGGAUUAUGCCCAAAAGUGUAUUACAAGAAACUCACCAGAACUGUGAUGGACUCCAUUUCCACCUUAGAAAAAAUGACAACAUGCUCCGUCACAGGGAAAAAAGGGACCACUGGUGAACAAAGACAGAGUCCUGACAGAGAAAGUGAAGCUAGUAAUAGGGAGCCUGCUGGAAGAGAAUCUGAGGACUGAUGCACAUAUAACAAUGGACAUGCAUAAAGACACAUCUCUCUCUCUCUCUCUCUCUCUCUCUCUCUCUCUCUCUCUCUCUCUCUCUCUCUCUCUCUCUCUCUCUCUCUCUCUCUCUCUCUCUCUCUCUCUCUCCCACAUACACACACACUCAGAUAUACAGUUGUUGUUGUAUGGACAGAAUUUUAUUGAUACUUGUUUUUUUAUGAAUAUGUUUGGAUACUUCUUAUAAUUUUCUGUAUGUUUGCAAAUAAAUUCUCCAUUUGAAUCAGUUUUUCCUUACAGUAAAAUGUGUCUUAUGUCAAAGUCACAUCAUGGUGCCUUUAUUUUAUAUCACUGACAUCUUAGCUAGAUUAUAGCUUACCCUUGGGGUCAAAGGGUGAGUUUGAGUCCUGGGUUAUGAUAAGCAAUUGUAUGGCCUACUUUAUAUACUUUAACUCUCAAGUUCACAUGUAAAAACAAAUGAGAAACCCAUGUGAUCACAUGUGCAUAAUGUGAUGACAUUUUUUUGUGCUUCACAUGGAAAUUCACAUGUGAUUCACACAAAGUGUUCAAAAAGCACACAUUUCCCAUGUGCAAAACACAUGUUCUGCAUGUGAUUCUAACAUGUUUUCAUGUGUCACAUGUGAUUUUAACAUGUUUUCACACAAUAAAUUUCACAUGUGAAAUAUGUGCUUUUGGAACAUUUUUGUGUGAAUCCCAUGUGAAACACAUGUGAUCAC